rnacentral:rRNA from 1 species
UACGGAGGGGGCGAGCGUUGUCCGAAGUUACUGGGCGUAAAGCGCGCGUAGGCGGGUUGCUAAGUCCGCUGUGAAAGCCCGAGGCUUAACCUCGGAGGGUCGGUGGAUACUGGCAGUCUUGAAGGUGGUAGAGGGAAGUGGAAUUACCGGUGUAGCGGUGAAAUGCGUAGAUAUCGUAAGGAAGACCAGUGGCGAAGGCGGGUCUCUGGACAGUUCCUGACGCUGAGGCACGAAGGCCAGGGGAGCAAACGGG